GACGCCCUAUUUAAACGUUCGUUGUUUCAGAGACCUUGACGAAGCUCUCAUCAAUGGCGGACCCAAACCUAACCGAUGAUCGAUUGAUUAAGGCCGCUUUGACUGGAUGAAGAAUCGGAGGGACUUCCAUUGCAAUUAUGUCAUCGCAGGCUGGCCAGUUGGCUCUAAUGGCAGGAAAGGUUGCUUGGAGGAUUGAAAGAAGACUUACAGCAGGUUUGGCACGACGUUUGGUGAGAGGAAAAAGGCGAGUACCGGCUCCACCUCCCAGUAUGACUGCCACAACUGUUCUCGGGUCCCUUUUCUCCAUCUCUAGGUUCCUCAACUGCACAAAAACACAUUUAUAUUGGCAGUUACGUAGGUGUGUACAACUGCAAAACAGAAAUAUUAUGUAUCCCAAAAAAAUGCUCAGAAUUUGAAAUGUGUGGAUCAAAUUUAUCCACCAAAUUUAAAUCUAUACUAUUCAAAUUCUAAGUAUUUUUUCUAAGUUGAUGAACAACAGUACUUGACUCUGAAACUAAUCAGAUCAUAUAUAAUUAUGUAUAUAGUUUAUUAUAUGAAACACGUGACUUACUUGAUGAAGCUAUGUCAUGCAAUUUUUCAUA